rnacentral:rRNA from 1 species
UGCAGCGGCGAUAGCACGUUGAAUGCACCAGUUUCCAAUGGAUCACUGAAGGCACAGCAACUUUGUGCGUGGUUGGUAUCCGGAUGGGUGACCAUUUGGGCAAUCCAGGGCUGCUACUU